rnacentral:rRNA from 1 species
CCUACGGGUGGCAGCAGUAGGGAAUAUUGCUCAAUGGGGGAAACCCUGAACCAGCCAAGUAGCGUGCAGGAUGACGGCCCUCCGGGUUGUAAACUGCUUUUAGUUGGGAAUAAAAGGGGGCUCGUGAGCCCCGUAUUGUAUGUACCAUCAGAAAAAGGACCGGCUAAUUCCGUGCCAGCAGCCGCGGUAAUACGGAAGGUCCGGGCGUUAUCCGGAUUGAUUGGGUUUAAAGGGCGCGUAGGCCGGCUUUUAAGUCAGCUGUGAAAGUCCGCGGCUCAACCGUGGAAUUGCAGUUGAAACUGGAGGCCUUGAGUGCACACAGGGAUGCCGGAAUUCAUGGUGUAGCGGUGAAAUGCUUAGAGAUCAUGAAGAACUCCGAUCGCGAAGGCAAGUGUCCGGGGUGCAACUGACGCUGAGGCUCGAAAGUGCGGGUAUCAAACAGGAUUAGAUACCCGGGUAGUC